AACGAACGCCGGCGGCAGGCCUAACACAUGCAAGUCGAGGGGUAGAACACUUCGGUGUUUGAGACCGGCGCACGGGUGCGUAACGCGUAUGCAAUCUAUCUUGUACAGGGGAAUAGCCCAGAGAAAUUUGGAUUAAUGCCCCAUAGUAUAUAACCUUCGCAUGUUGGUUAUAUUAAAGUUCCAACGGUACAAGAUGAGCAUGCGUCCCAUUAGUUAGUUGGUAAGGUAACGGCUUACCAAGACGAUGAUGGGUAGGGGUCCUGAGAGGGAGAUCCCCCACACUGGUACUGAGACACGGACCAGACUCCUACGGGAGGCAGCAGUGAGGAAUAUUGGUCAAUGGGCGCAAGCCUGAACCAGCCAUGCCGCGUGCAGGAAGACGGUCCUAUGGAUUGUAAACUGCUUUUAUACAGGAAGAAACCCUCCCACGUGUGGGAGAUUGACGGUACUGUAGGAAUAAGGAUCGGCUAACUCCGUGCCAGCAGCCGCGGUAACAC
rnacentral:rRNA from 1 species